rnacentral:rRNA from 1 species
AUUGAACGCUGGCGGCAGGCUUAACACAUGCAAGUCGAGCGGAGCGAGGGUGCUUGCACCUUAGCUUAGCGGCGGACGGGUGAGUAAUGCUUAGGAAUCUGCCUAUUAGUGGGGGACAACAUUCCGAAAGGAAUGCUAAUACCGCAUACGCCCUACGGGGGAAAGCGGGGGAUCUUCGGACCUUGCGCUAAUAGAUGAGCCUAAGUCGGAUUAGCUAGUUGGUGGGGUAAAGGCCUACCAAGGCGACGAUCUGUAGCGGGUCUGAGAGGAUGAUCCGCCACACUGGGACGGAGACACGGCCCAGACUCCUACGGGAGGCAGCAGUGGGGAAUAUUGGACAAUGGGCGGAAGCCUGAUCCAGCCAUGCCGCGUGUGUGAAGAAGGCCUUUUGGUUGUAAAGCACUUUAAGCGAGGAGGAGGCUCUUAAGGUUAAUACCCUUGAUGAGUGGACGUUACUCGCAGAAUAAGCACCGGCUAACUCUGUGCCAGCAGCCGCCGUAAGAC